CCUACGGGUGGCAGCAGUGAGGCAUAUUGGUCAAUGGACGAGAGUCUGAACCAGCCAAGUAGCGUGAAGGAUGACUGCCCUAUGGGUUGUAAACUUCUUUUAUAUGGGAAUAAAAUGUUCCACGUGUGUGAUUUUGUAUGUACCAUAUGAAUAAGGAUCGGCUAACUCCGUGCCAGCAGCCGCGGUAAUACGGAGGAUCCGAGCGUUAUCCGGAUUUAUUGGGUUUAAAGGGAGCGUAGGUGGAUUGUUAAGUCAGUUGUGAAAGUUUGCGGCUCAACCGUAAAAUUGCAGUUGAAACUGGCAGUCUUGAGUACAGUAGAGGUGGGCGGAAUUCGUGGUGUAGCGGUGAAAUGCUUAGAUAUCACGAAGAACUCCGAUUGCGAAGGCAGUUCACUGGACUGCAACUGACACUGAGGCUCGAAAGUGUGGGUAUCAAACAGGAUUAGAUACCCAUGUAGUC
rnacentral:rRNA from 1 species